rnacentral:rRNA from 1 species
CCUACGGGGCGCAGCAGUGGGGAAUAUUGCACAAUGGGCGCAAGCCUGAUGCAGCCAUGCCGCGUGUGUGAAGAAGGCCUUCGGGUUGUAAAGCACUUUCAGCGGGGAGGAAGGCGGGGAGGUUAAUAACCUCACCGAUUGACGUUACCCGCAGAAGAAGCACCGGCUAACUCCGUGCCGGCAGCCGCGGUAAUACGGAGGGUGCAAGCGUUAAUCGGAAUUACUGGGCGUAAAGCGCACGCAGGCGGUCUGUCAAGUUGGAUGUGAAAUCCCCGGGCUCAACCUGGGAACUGCAUUCGAAACUGGCAGGCUAGAGUCUUGUAGAGGGGGGUAGAAUUCCAGGUGUAGCGGUGAAAUGCGUAGAGAUCUGGAGGAAUACCGGUGGCGAAGGCGGCCCCCUGGACAAAGACUGACGCUCAGGUGCGAAAGCGUGGGGAGCAAACAGGAUUAGAUACCCUCGUAGUC